CCAGUGAAGAGAGGGAAAACACUUCCAGUGUGUGUGUACACACCGAGCUGAGGUGAAAGCUGCACCUUCUUCAUCACGUCAUCAGCAAGAGGAUGUGUCACUGGAAGCAGCUGAGAAUGACCUCACAAGUCUGGAGGUACCCACCAUGACACGAGUUCACAUACAGGUUAACUUGUGUAUCAGAGGUCUCUAUGCUGAAUUAACAUCCUGCAGCACAGCUCCCUCCAACACCCAGAGAGAUCUGUUUGUUUAUCUUCCAGACUCCUCCACUCAGGACAGGAGAGAGGAGAAGAGAACAGAAGGAGAGAGCAGAGGAGAUGAGGAGUGCGACAGACAGAUGAGACACCAAAAGAGCUGCUGGAGAGGUGAAGAAGAGGAGAGUAUCAGAUAGACAGACAACACACAGAGUUAACACAGUUUGUCACAGUUCAAAAGGAGGCCUUGUCACACAAUAGCAACAGAAGCCAUGAGACCAGGGUUGGUCAGUUUUCAAAACUGAACAAGCAAUCGGCAACAUACAAUCUAGUAUAUGACUAUUUCAUUCACGUCAAGGCUUUUAUUUUUUCGCAGGUUGCUGAAAAUAAAAAUAAUAAGGAAG